rnacentral:rRNA from 1 species
AGAGUUGAUCAUGGCUCAGGACGAACGCUGGCGGCGUGCCUAACACAUGCAAGUCGAGCGAGGAGAUCCUCGGGAUGAUCCUAGCGGCGGACGGGUGAGUAACACGUGGGCAACCUGCCUCAUAGAGAGGAAUAGCCUUCCGAAAGGGAGAUUAAUACCUCAUAACAUUGCAGUUUCGCAUGGAACAGCAAUUAAAGGAGUAAUCCGCUAUGAGAUGGGCCCGCGGCGCAUUAGCUAGUUGGUGAGGUAAUGGCUCACCAAGGCGACGAUGCGUAGCCGACCUGAGAGGGUGAUCGGCCACAUUGGGACUGAGACACGGCCCAGACUCCUACGGGAGGCAGCAGUGGGGAAUAUUGCACAAUGGGGGAAACCCUGAUGCAAGCAACGCCGCGUGAGUGAUGACGGCCUUCGGGUUGUAAAGCUCUGUCUUCAGGGACGAUAAUGACGGUACCUGAGGAGGAAGCCACGGCUAACUACGUGCCAGCAGCCGC